rnacentral:sRNA from 1 species
CUUUGAUGCGCUCUUGGUCUUCCAUGUUGAUGGGGGACACCGGCGGCGUGGCGUCCCGGCUGCGCGCCUCCGGCACGGUCUGCGGUUCCUCCUUGAAGGUGGAGGCGCCGCGGCCCAAGCCCAGCUGCGCCGGGUGGCCACCGGCGAAGGGCGGCGCGUGUGGGAGGUAGCUGAUGGUGGCCGUCGGGUACGAGCUCCCGGUCCCGACGGCAGCCCCGGCGCCUCCCGAGGACGCAGAGGCUGGGGAGUAGCUGCUGAGUUACAGACGUUCCACGUUCCGUCUCCCUGUGCCAGCCCUCAGGACCUGAGCAGCGGCCUUGCCGUAGCCUAUGUGCUAAACCAGAUGUGAGUGGAGCUGAGGGGGAGGAUCCCAAAAGUGUCCCCCAGUCUGCUCAUCCCACCUUCUCGCCCCCAGAGACCCCUCCUGGUUCAACGAGGCAUGGCUCCAGGGCAUCUCGGAAGAUCCAGGUCCCAACUGGAAGCUGAAGGUGACAAGUGGACUCCUGAUUAGAGGACAGACUGGUGAAGAGAUGACCAGGGACGGGCCAGCUAGGCACAUGUCCUGGGUGAUGGGCAGGAAGAGGGACAGAUGUCUGGUGAUCAACCAUUUGUUCAUCCAUUCAUCUAUGGAGUACUCACCCUGUGCCAGGCCUGG